rnacentral:tRNA from 1 species
GGGCGGUUAGCUCAGUUGGUUAGAGCGCCGGUCUCACAUACCGGAGGUCGUGGGUUCAAUUCCCUCACCGCCUACCA